rfam:Ovis aries breed Texel chromosome 2, whole genome shotgun sequence.
GCCCUGGUAGCUCAGUGGUAAAGAAUCUGCCUGCCAAUGCAGGAGACACAAGUUCAAUUCCUGAUCAGGGAA